AUUGAACGCUGGCGGCAUGCUUUACACAUGCAAGUCGAACGGCAGCGCGGGGCAACCUGGCGGCGAGUGGCGAACGGGUGAGUAAUACAUCGGAACGUACCCAGAAGUGGGGGAUAACGUAGCGAAAGUUACGCUAAUACCGCAUACGUUCUACGGAAGAAAGUGGGGGACCUUCGGGCCUCAUGCUUUUGGAGCGGCCGAUGUCUGAUUAGCUAGUUGGUAGGGUAAAGGCCUACCAAGGCGACGAUCAGUAGCUGGUCUGAGUGGACGACCAGCCACACUGGGACUGGGACACGGCCCAGACUCCUACGGGAGGCAGCAGUGGGGAAUUUUGGACAAUGGGCGCAAGCCUGAUCCAGCAAUGCCGCGUGAGUGAAGAAGGCCUUCGGGUUGUAAAGCUCUUUUGUCAGGGAAGAAACGGCUGAGGUUAAUACCUUCGGCUAAUGACGGUACCUGAAGAAUAAGCACCGGCUAACUACGUGCCAGCAGCCGCCGUAA
rnacentral:rRNA from 1 species